GCGCGGGUAGUUUAGCUUGGUUAUAACGACACGCUCACACCGUGUAGAUCGAGGGUUCGAAACAAAUCUUUUAUUUCA
rnacentral:tRNA from 1 species